rnacentral:rRNA from 1 species
AUACGGAGGGUGCAAGCGUUACUCGGAAUCACUGGGCGUAAAGCGCGCGCAGGCGGGCUGAUAAGCGGGGAGUGAAAGCCUACGGCUCAACCGUAGAACUGCUUUCCGAACUGUCAGUCUAGAGUCUGGAGGGGAAGAUGGAAUUAGUUGUGUAGGGGUAAAAUCCGUAGAGAUAACUAGGAAUACCAAAAGCGAAGGCGAUCUUCUGGAACAGUACUGACGCUGAGGCGCGAAAGCGUGGGGAGCAAACAGGAUUAGAAACCCCAGUAGUCC